CAGAAGUGAUGACACGGAGAUAAUUGGGUGAGUUUGGAUGGAGUGUGUGUGAGAAAGGGAAUGGGGGCAGUGUGUGGGUGUGUGGGGGGCUCUCCUGGGGGCACUGAUGGCAGUGCUGAGCCAGGAGUGCAUCUGAGGCGUGUUGGGCACCUCGGGGCCCCUCUGCAACACUGCCUGUGAUUAAAGCCCCACAAAAGCCCACCAGGAGAGCCCCAGGCUGCCCAAAUGUCUCCAGGGUCACCAGUGAUCCUGUGCUCUGAUCUCA
ensembl:scaRNA SCARNA7 small Cajal body-specific RNA 7